rnacentral:rRNA from 1 species
CACGUAGGGCGCAAGCGUUGUCCGGAAUUAUUGGGCGUAAGGAGCUCGUAGGCGGUCUGUUGCGUCCGCUGUGAAAACUCGGGGCUUAACCCCGAGCCUGCAGUGGAUACGGGCAGACUAGAGGUAGGUAGGGGAGAAUGGAAUUCCCGGUGUAGCGGUGAAAUGCGCAGAUAUCGGGAGGAACACCGGUGGCGAAGGCGGCGACCUGGUCCGAUACUGACGCUGAGGCGCGAAAGCGUGGGGAGCAAACAGG